UACCUGGUUGAUCCUGCCAGUARUCAUAUGCUUGUCUCAA
rnacentral:rRNA from 1 species